rnacentral:rRNA from 1 species
AAUACAUGCAAGUCGAGCGGAAUGAUGAAGAAGCUUGCUUCUUCUGAUUUUAGCGGCGGACGGGUGAGUAACACGUGGGCAACCUACCUUGUAGAUUGGGAUAACUCCGGGAAACCGGGGCUAAUACCGAAUAAUCCAUUUUGCUUCAUGGCGAGAUGUUGAAAGACGGUUUCGGCUGUCACUACAAGAUGGGCCCGCGGCGCAUUAGCUAGUUGGUAGGGUAAUGGCCUACCAAGGCGACGAUGCGUAGCCGACCUGAGAGGGUGAUCGGCCACACUGGGACUGAGACACGGCCCAGACUCCUACGGGAGGCAGCAGUAGGGAAUCUUCCACAAUGGACGAAAGUCUGAUGGAGCAACGCCGCGUGAGUGAAGAAGGUUUUCGGAUCGUAAAACUCUGUUGUAAGGGAAGAACACGUACGAGAGUAACUGCUCGUACCUUGACGGUACCUUAUUAGAAAGCCACGGCUAACUACGUG